AGCUUUGCGCAGUGGCAGUAUUGUAGUCUAUGAAGUUUAUCCGAGGCGCGAUUGUUGCUGAUUGAAAACUUUACCCAAUACCCCGCCGUGACGACUUGAAAUAUAGUCGGUUCUGGCAAUUUUUGAGGGUUUUUACUGAGA
ensembl:snRNA U4 U4 spliceosomal RNA